rnacentral:rRNA from 1 species
GACGAACGCUGGCGGCGUGCUUAACACAUGCAAGUCGAACGGAAAGGCCCUGCUUUUGUGGGGUGCUCGAGUGGCGAACGGGUGAGUAACACGUGAGUAACCUGCCCUUGACUUUGGGAUAACUUCAGGAAACUGGGGCUACUACCGGAUAGGAGCUCCUGCUGCAUGGUGGGGGUUGGAAAGUUUCGGCGGUUGGGGAUGGACUCGCGGCUUAUCAGCUUGUUGGUGGGGUAGUGGCUUACCAAGGCUUUGACGGGUAGCCGGCCUGAGAGGGUGACCGGCCACAUUGGGACUGAGGUACGGCCCAGACUCCUACGGGGGGCAGCAGUGGGGAAUAUUGCACAAUGGGCGGAAGCCUGAUGCAGCAACGCCGCGUGCGGGAUGACGGCCUUCGGGUUGUAAACCGCUUUCGCCUGUGACGAAGCGUGAGUGACGGUAAUGGGUAAAGAAGCACCGGCUAACUACGUG